UACGUAGGGUGCGAGCGUUAAUCGGAAUUACUGGGCGUAAAGCGUGCGCAGGCGGUUCGUUGUGUCUGUGGUGAAAGCCCCGGGCUUAACCUGGGAAUGGCCAUGGAAACUGGCGAGCUGGAGUGUGGCAGAGGGGGGUGGAAUUCCGCGUGUAGCAGUGAAAUGCGUAGAGAUGCGGAGGAACACCGAUGGCGAAGGCAGCCCCCCUGGGCUAACACUGACGCUCAGGCACGAAAGCGUGGGGAGCAAACAGG
rnacentral:rRNA from 1 species